rnacentral:rRNA from 1 species
UACGGAGGGGGCAAGCGUUAUCCGGAAUUACUGGGCGUAAAGCGUGCGCAGGCGGUUCUGAAAGUCAGCCGUGAAAGCCCCGGGCUUAACCUGGGAAUUGCGGUUGAAACUACAGGGCUAGAAUCUGGCAGAGGGGGGUGGAAUUCCACGUGUAGCAGUGAAAUGCGUAGAGAUGUGGAGGAACACCGAUGGCGAAGGCAGCCCCCUGGGCUGAGAUUGACGCUCAGGCACGAAAGCGUGGGGAGCAAACAGG